rnacentral:rRNA from 1 species
AACGAACGCUGGCGGCGUGGAUAAGACAUGCAAGUCGAACGGAGUUAGCAAUAAGCUUGCUUAAGGCAAACUCAGUGGCGAACGGGUGAGUAACACGUGAAUAAUCUGCCUUGAAGUGGGGGAUAGCCCUGGGAAACUAGGAUUAAUACCGCAUGUGGUCGAGAGACUAAAGCAGCAAUGCGCUCUAAGAUGAGUUCGCGUCCUAUUAGCUAGUUGGUGAGGUAACUGCUCACCAAGGCCUUGAUAGGUAGCCGGUCUGAGAGGAUGUCCGGCCACACUGGAACUGAGACACGGUCCAGACACCUACGGGUGGCAGCAGUCGAGAAUCAUUCACAAUGGGGGCAACCCUGAUGGUGCGACGCCGCGUGGGGGAAGAAUGUCUUCGGAUUGUAAACCCCUGUCAUGUGGGAGUAAGCUAGUGAUAGUUGAUAGUACCACAAGAGGAAGAGACGGCAAACUCUGUGCCAGCCGCCGCAGUAACAC